AUGAACGCUGGCGGCGUGCCUAAUACCUGCAAGUCGCGCGCACGGACGAGAAGCUUGCUUUUCUGAUGUUAGCGGCGGACGGGUGAGUAACACGUGGAUAACCUACCUAUAAGACUGGGAUAACUUCGGGAAACCGGAGCUAAUACCGGAUAAUAUUUUGAACCGCAUGGUUCAAAAGUGAAAGACGGUCUUGCUGUCACUUAUAGAUGGAUCCGCGCUGCAUUAGCUAGUUGGUAAGGUAACGGCUUACCAAGGCAACGAUGCAUAGCCGACCUGAGAGGGUGAUCGGCCACACUGGAACUGAGACACGGUCCAGACUCCUACGGGAGGCAGCAGUAGGGAAUCUUCCGCAAUGGGCGAAAGCCUGACGGAGCAACGCCGCGUGAGUGAUGAAGGUCUUCGGAUCGUAAAACUCUGUUAUUAGGGAAGAACAUAUGUGUAAGUAACUGUGCACAUCUUGACGGUACCUAAUCAGAAAGCCACGGCUAACUACGUG
rnacentral:rRNA from 1 species